rnacentral:rRNA from 1 species
UACGUAGGUGGCAAGCGUUGUCCGGAAUUAUUGGGCGUAAAGCGCGCGCAGGUGGUUUCUUAAGUCUGAUGUGAAAGCCCACGGCUCAACCGUGGAGGGUUAUUGGAAACUGGGGAACUUGAGUGCAGGAGAGAAGAGUGGAAUUCCACGUGUAGCGGUGAAAUGCGUAGAGAUGUGGAGGAACACCAGUGGCGAAGGCGACUCUUUGGCCUGUAACUGACACUGAGGCGCGAAAGCGUGGGGAGCAAACAGG